GGGAGAUAAAAAAAAAAUACCAUGUGAACUAAUUAAUCAUUAAUGCAUAUAAAAUGAGUAAAUUUGAGUCGGGUACACACACAACAAUAUAAGGAAAGAGAGACAGAGAAAGGGGCUUAAAGAAAGGAGAGGAUGAAAAAUAUAACAUUGCUAAAUAUUUUCAAAAGUGAAUUUUCAGGAGAAGAGAACCACUCAUCAGGACUAGCAGCUGCAUAGAUUAGAAUUUUGCCUAUCUAAUGGUCCAAUGACCACCCUUUUCUACUGAUACUAGUUGUUAUAGUCCAUAAACUAAUGGACAGCUUAAGAACAAACAAAUUGUUGAGUACACAACUACUAACUAUAAGAAGAAAAAUAAAUCUCACGAGUUCCUACCCCAAACUAGUUGUUGUAUGGCC
rnacentral:misc_RNA from 1 species